ACCUGGUUGAUUCUGCCAGUAGUCAUAUGCUUGUCUCAAAGAUAAGCCAUGCCAGUCUA
rnacentral:rRNA from 1 species